CAAGAGAUUUUGAGGGUUAAUUAAAACAUUAAGUCUUUGAAUGCCAAUAGAAAGCUGUUGAAGGCAAAACCUCCGCUAACGUCGGUCACCGGUGACCACCACGACGUUCAAUGUGUUAAGGAUUGGCCACCAAAAGCUCUACAAAGAGUCGAGUGGAAGGAAAGUAGGGAGGCUUUUGGCCUGCAGUACGAUGACCAUGGCUGAAAAUAAAUAAAUAAUUAAGACAUAAUAUGCACAAGUUUUGCUCUUUAGAACUAUGUCUGACAAUCUUAUUGAAGAAUCAGAAUCCUAAUCAGGAACCAAAGGUUUUUUGACAAUAUUCCAUAGUGUCGCACGAUAUAUUAAGCUAAACAUUCCUUUCCUUGGUAUUUAACAUGAGAUAGACAUAUUAAAUAUGUAUGUUUCUUGUACAAGUGUUUCGUAUUUCACUGGCAUUGACAACUUUAUGCAUCAAUUGUAGUAAUCUAUAUUGAAAGUAUGAUUCCAUUCAAUAAUAUACGUUAAGUUAUAUAAUAAAAGGUUCUGUUUAGGUGUUGUUAUAAACAAACAUAAUGUAAAUAGAAGACAGUCUGAUAGAAAUAACGGCUUGAAAUGUUUAGUCCAGAAAACAAAUCACCAGGAUUUUUUAUGAGAUAGCGGACAAAUGAGGAGACUCAUCACCUAAUGGUAAGUGAUCAGAGUCGCCAAUGGCAAUAAAAGAUCAAUCAAUGUAACUUGGGUAGAAUAGUAACUUAAUAUUCUCAUAACGCUUUCGAUUAGUCCUGCAUAAGGCCAAAUAUUUGUAAAAAAAACAUUGGUAAAUAAACCAAAGUAAUGGACAAACAGAUGUAAAUAAAAACAAUCGCCAUUUAUCGAGGCAUCAAUUGCGGAAGAGGAGAGUUAUUUGAUAAAUUUUGCUGUAAACAAUCGAAGGUCAAUGUAAAUUAUUAUUAAUUGAAAUUGAAAACUAUUUAUUAUAUAAAAAACAUUUAUUACGAGAAAUUAUGUAUGUGCAAAGCCAGAGCAAAUUGCUAAUAUGCGUUAAAAACAUACUAAAAAGCAAAAACGGAGGCGGACCUUUCAGUUUUUCCCGCAAAGUCAAUACAAGUUUAAAGGUAUCCUAAGAACGAGAAAAACAGUUAAGAUAGCCAACAAUAACGAUAAUUCGAUAAGGCAAAACAUUUAAAAGUCAGAAAGUAAGCGAGGUCGGCGGUUGCCCGGACGAGUCAAGUUGAAGGCCACAGAUAAACAUAUUAUGAACGUACUCCGCAACGAUAUUGUUUUGUAUGACGCUAUUGACACGGUGGGUACGUGUUUUCUUUAAAUUCUAUAAGAAAAUUACAAGGUGUUCCCAUGGGUGGUAUAUUGGGGCCAAUAUUGACCUUGAAACUAAGUUUUCUUUAAGUAUUUUAUUUAUGUCUGGCCUUCGAUAUUUCUUGAAGGUCGCAAGCAGGAAUACUAGUACUUGUAAUAAUAGUAGUCGCAGCUGCUAAUACUAAUCAAUCAGGCCCGUGUAAUAGUGGCAAUGUAAUUGUUGAAAAUGAAUCAUACGAUAUCUAUUUUCGAUGGUUUUCGUUGAACAAGGCAGGCUUCAAAGAAGCUAUUAGAUGUAAUGAGCGUGAAGUAGGUACAUUUAAAUACUUGAAUAUAAAGUUCUAUACUCGACAUACAUUUAUUUUAAGACGUUAGUUACUAAGUUAUCAUACAAUAAAAUCUUACAAAACGAGAUAAUUAACAUUGAUGAGGUAAAUGAUAAAAAAAAACACAAUUUUAAUGUUCAUAACGAUUUCCUUUGCAAAUAAAAUAAAUACGACCGAUUCUACCAUAACUAUCUAAAACCUUUCAUAAUUCACACUCGUCCAACUAAAUAUUUAAAUUCUUAACAAAUUAAACGGAUGAUUGAAAAAAAAGAUCACACGCAAUGUAGAAUUUUCCUGUCGACGGAACUGGGCGGCCAUUUUAGAGUCCGAAUUCAAAUUUUAAUGUCUAACAGUUGUCAGUACUGCAAGCAGUGGGUGCAACAUAAUAUAGCAAGCAGGGUCCUUAGACAAAGUAACAUCGCUUGGUAGCGAAACGAUAUCUAAAAUCGUCAUCGUCUCAACGAUAACGACAAACAUUUCUUAGACAAAGUAACAUCGCGAUCGUUAUCGUUGUGUCGAAUCGAUUGUUCGCUAAAAAGCAAAAAUAUUGUUUAUGGUAACGAAAAUUUAGCUGUCAGUGUCACUCAAGAAGUUCAAAUCGGAUUAUUCCCGCGAGUUAUUACUGUUUUCGAAUUUUACUGAUAAGAAUAAGUGAGUUGUUGGCGAUCGCCGUACUUCGUGAGGGUGAUGUUAUCACAGUCAGCGACGUUGGAGUGCUGGGUGACGUCACGGGAUCGGCACGGUGGUCGCCGCACCGGUGGGCUUCAAGUGGUUGUGCUGCGAUGCCCAGACGUAAAUAUCCGAAAACUGCUGGGCUCAAGUGCUCCCCAAGAGAAAUAUGACUUUAUAAGUUCAAUUUCGAACUAGCCCUCGUAUAAGACAGUCCACGUUAUUUCUAUGAUAGUGAUGAAACAUGGAAUGGAGUGCGAACAAGUUCCCAACAAUUGUCAAUGCUGCUUGAGGAUAUAGCAAAUCAUGGUGACCCGGCGAGGCCUCUUGCUGCAUCACUAGGUUGGGUACGGUCAGACUGACUGUGGUCUGAACUGACAAACAUAUUGAAUGCUGUUGGUGGUGGUGGCAGCAAGACUACAGAUAAGUGAUAAAAAGCGUGGUCAGCGGUUGAGAUGGCCGGCGACACCGCAGUCUGCUGUUUCUCCCGGCCCUCGUUUGAGCGACCCCCUUCGAGAUAGCGGCAAGCGAGUAGCUAAAAAGCUAAGAGCACACAGCACCUGAAAAUUAUAAUAAUACAGAUUUAGA